rnacentral:misc_RNA from 1 species
GCCUCUGCCUCUGCCUCUGCUUCAAUUGAUUCUCCUCUCUUUGUUCUCUGGCCUCAAUUGAUCCUUCUCAAGCCCAUUAUGCUCUUUGUUCCCAAUACGAAGAACCUCAGGCCAUCAGCAAUCUCUCUCUUAUUCCAGGCUUCCAGUAGCAGUCCAGCUACCUCAGGCCCUCUCUCUCAAUUUUUGCGGCAGCCCCAGUGAAUUGGGGAGAGCAGCCGCGGCGCUGCGUCAACCAAGCUGCUCGGUCCAUCUCUCUGCUCUCAGCUCUUUCGGUACAAUGUCCACA